rnacentral:snRNA from 1 species
AUAAUUCUGUAUUGAAUUGAAUGAUAAAUAAAUGUUUUUAAGAAAAAAGAAAAAAAAAAGGUUCACCCAGGGUGAGGCUUGGCCAUUGCACUCCGGUUUGUGCUGACCUCUGCGAAUUCCCCAAAUGUGGGAAUCUCGACUGCAUAAUUUAUGGUAGUGGGGGACUGCGUUCGCGCUCUCCCCUG